rnacentral:pre_miRNA from 7 species
CUCUCCCUCUGAAAGACCCCCAAAGGGAGACCCUCACUCAAGUCUCUGGAUAAUAGCGGACCCCCAAGAACUCAUGAGAGA